rnacentral:tRNA from 1 species
AUAGUCUAGCGGUUAGAACGCUGGCCUUGUAAUCCUGGGGUCUCGGGUUCGAUUCCCGGU